ACACCUACGUAAUUUGCGACUCGCUGAUC
rnacentral:sRNA from 1 species